rnacentral:rRNA from 1 species
CUACGGGAGGCAGCAGCAAGGAAUUUUCGGCAAUGGGCGAAAGCCUGACGGAGCGACGCCGCGUGGAGGACGAAGGCCUUCGGGUUGUAAACUCCUGUCACGAGUUAAGAAGGGUAUGCGACGAACAGUCGUAUGCCUUGACGUAAGCUCGAGAGGAAGCACUGGCUAACUCUGUGCCAGCAGCCGCGGUAAUACAGAGAGUGCAAACGUUGUUCGGAAUUACUGGGCUUAAAGCGCACGUAGGCGGCAUCGCAAGUGUGGGGUGAAAUCCCACGGCUUACCCGUGGAACUGCCUGGCAGACUGCGAUGCUCGAGUGUGGUAGGGGAGAGCGGAACUCCUGGUGGAGCGGUGAAAUGCGUAGAUAUCAGGAGGAACACCGGUGGCGAAGGCGGCUCUCUGGUCCACAACUGACGCUGAGGUGCGAAAGCUAGGGGAGCAAACGGGAUUAGAUACCCGAGUAGUCC